GACAGAGGGGGCAAGCGUUGCUCGGAAUCACUGGGCGUAAAGGGCGCGUAGGCGGGAUGGCAAGUCGGUCGUGAAAUCCUUCGGCUCAACCGAAGAACGUCGGCCGAUACUGCCGUUCUUGAGGGAUGCAGAGGAGAUUGGAAUUCCCGGUGUAGCGGUGAAAUGUGUAGAGAUCGGGAGGAACACCGGUGGCGAAGGCGAGUCUCUGGACAGUUACCGACGCUGAGGCACGAAGGUCAGGGGAGCAAACGGG
rnacentral:rRNA from 1 species